UGGGGAAUAUUGCACAAUGGGCGCAAGCCUGAUGCAGCCAUGCCGCGUGUAUGAAGAAGGCCUUCGGGUUGUAAAGUACUUUCAGCGGGGAGGAAGGCGAUAAGGUUAAUAACCUUGGCGAUUGACGUUACCCGCAGAAGAAGCACCGGCUAACUCCGUGCCAGCAGCCGCGGUAAUACGGAGGGUGCAAGCGUUAAUCGGAAUUACUGGGCGUAAAGCGCACGCAGGCGGUCUGUCAAGUCGGAUGUGAAAUCCCCGGGCUCAACCUGGGAACUGCAUUCGAAACUGGCAGGCUAGAGUCUUGUAGAGGGGGGUAGAAUUCCAGGUGUAGCGGUGAAAUGCGUAGAGAUCUGGAGGAAUACCGGUGGCGAAGGCGGCCCCCUGGACAAAGACUGACGCUCAGGUGCGAAAGCGUGGGGAGCAAACA
rnacentral:rRNA from 1 species